rnacentral:lncRNA from 1 species
AUCAAAAAUGUGACGGUGUUUGAGAGAUAGUUUACAUACACUCAUCAUGGGCAUAAAUGCCAUGGUAAUUUAGGGCUUUUAAUGAUUUCUUUAAGCUGUUAUUUUUCCAGGGUGAAAUGAUUGUGCAGCAUAAGUCUUUAAAAAAAAAAAAGAAAGAAUUAGCUGCACAUUUUAAAUUUAUUUUGGAUUUUCCCUAAUCCACACAGGAUCAAAAUUACACAUACAGGCUCAAAUAUAAACAUAGACCCCCAAUAAUACUUAGCUAAAUGUUCCUUUGCAAGUCACAACACGACUUUUGGUAGGCAUCAACAAGCCAUGUGUUUGUAUUGAGAGGAAUCUAGUAUUACAAACUUGUCAUCCUAAGUAUUUUUUACAACUAUUUUGAAAAUACAGACCUUAAAAGAUCAUUUUAAAAUAUAUAUUUCAAGAAAAAACAUCUUGGAAUCUUAUUCGCACACUAUAAUUCUAGUCACAUUUCAACGUAAAUCCCAUUAACUUAAAACUGUACGUAGUGACGCAUCGUGUUACGUCACGUAACACUGCGUAGGGCGUGGUGACGCGUGCCUUUGUGGAUUCUGUGGUCCGCCGCCAAAUUCAAACAGCGAAAGAAAAAACGGGAGCUACAGUCGCCUAAAAGCCACAGAGAAUCGACUACUUUUACAACUGAAACUUUCAGCUAAGCGUGGCUUCGGGGGCACAGCCCUCUUUUGUUUUGUUAAUGAUAUUCACUGACUUUUAUGGGUAAAGGCAGCAUUUGACAACAAUGGCACAAUUUGACAGCGUUUUCCAUGUAAAGGCAAGUGAAAGGUAAACUUUAAUUCUCAUUUGUUGCUUAAGGCUGUUAUUCCCUCCCCAGGGCAAGCCAUUCCUGGGUUAAGUUGGACACUUGACCAGGAGCAUUGUCUCUAUCUAACAAAAGCCACGGAGCUUUUACUAACACGAUUACUGCUGCUUGUUACGGCUCAUUUUUCACUUUUUCCGUCCUUUGUUCAUUGACAUUUUUCACAUUUUUUGACAGUGACACAGGAACUCUGAAAUAGUUUCCUAAAGCAACAGUUAAGCUUAAUUAAGCUCAAAUUUGAGGAUUAAAAGAGAAAGAUUUGUCUUAACUUGUAACUUUUUCUUAUUUUGGUCUAUGAGUCCAAAGAAAUAUUCAAAUUUCAUAGCAUGCUGAGCCAGAUUAGAAUAUGGGGGGGGGGUAUAUUGUGAGAUU